rnacentral:rRNA from 1 species
UACGUAGGGUGCGAGCGUUAAUCGGAAUUACUGGGCGUAAAGCGUGCGCAGGCGGUGAUGUAAGACAGGUGUGAAAUCCCCGGGCUUAUCCUGGGAACUGCAUUUGUGACUGCAUCGCUGGAGUGCGGCAGAGGGGGAUGGAAUUCCGCGUGUAGCAGUGAAAUGCGUAGAUAUGCGGAGGAACACCGAUGGCGAAGGCAAUCCCCUGGGCCUGCACUGACGCUCAUGCACGAAAGCGUGGGGAGCAAACAGG